rnacentral:lncRNA from 1 species
CCGGAGUUGGCUCUGACUGCGCGUUUAUUUGGCAUAUGUCGCUGCCGGCUUCUUCGUAAAAUCUCCCCCAACUUACCUCCGCCCCAAAGCUGUGUAUGCUCUGCGCAGAACAAACAGUGAUCUGCGCUUGCAUCAGGAAUGGACAUCAUUCAAGAGUGUGAAGGGGAAAGACUUAUCUUUGCUGGAGUUAUGUCAGUUUGCAUACACCAGGAAAGUUUGACUGAAAUCAGCAUUAUUUAAUUAUUUUAUUCACUGUAAAGGGAUGAUGGAAUCUACCUUAAACAUCUUGUCUGUGAAGAGGCGCUUCUCUGCGUGAUUCUCACUUCUUGUAUGCAGAGAAGGUUCAGUGAUUACCACAGCUUUGCCCUCCCCUCCCAUUAGGAUGUGCUGGAGAGUCUACAUGAAACUAUAUAUGUAAGGGAGAAAUGGGAAGCAGUGAACUGAAGAAAUGUGAACUGGCAAGGAAGAAACAGAUAUAUACAUUUCUUCUCAGACACAGAACGUAGAAGGAGAGAGACCUGAUCUCUAAUUAGGAGUAGAAAAUAAAACAGUAAAAAAAUAAG